AACGUAGGACGCAAGCGUUAUCCGGAGUUACUGGGCGUAAAGCGCGGGCAGGCGGCCUCGCAAGUCUGAUGUGAAAGCACUCUGCUCAACAGAGUGAUGCCAUUGGAAACUACGGGGCUGGAGUCUGGCAGAGGUAGGCGGAAUUCCGGGUGGAGUGGUGAAAUGCGUAGAGAUGCGGAGGAACACCGAUGGCGAAGGCAGCCCCCUGGGCUAGCACUGACGCUCAGGCACGAAAGCGUGGGGAGCAAACAGG
rnacentral:rRNA from 1 species